GGGCCGUUAGCUCAAUUGGUAGAGCAACUGACUCUUAAUCAGUAGGUUUGGGGUUCGAUCCCCCGACGGCCCACCA
rnacentral:tRNA from 1 species